GGAAAGUUGCAAAGUACUUUGAAGAGAGAGUUCAAAAGGACGUGAAACCGAUAGGAUGGAAGCAGAUAAAAUUGACGAACGGGUGUCGUAUUCAGGAUUGUAUCUUGUGUGCAGUUUGUUUUUACGGCCGUUGUGGGCUGGCGGCUUUGGUCAAUGCAAUGUGUUUGGCAUUGAGAGUGACCCUGCGGAGGGAUAUUCGCUCAGUGUGCGGUGCUUGGUAUGGCUAAGGUAUCGCCGGUCUUGAAGUCAGAGAUUUAUCUGACCCGUCUUGAAACACGGACCAAGGAGUGUAGCGUUUGCGCAAGUCUUAGAGUGUGUCGAAACUUUGAGGCGUAACGAAAGUGAAUAUAGCUUGAUCUAUUAACUUGGGAUGCGUUGUCUCUUGUGGACGAUGUUGGACCAUGGUUUUAUCGCGAUUGCUUGCAAUGCGGUGAAAAUUGAGCGCAAAUGGUGCGACCCGAAA
rnacentral:rRNA from 1 species